GACGUAGGGGGCCAGCGUUGCUCGGAAUUACUGGGCGUAAAGGGCGCGUAGGCGGCCUGUUAAGUCGAACGUGAAAUCCCCGGGCUCAACCCGGGAACUGCGUCCGAUACUGGCAGGCUUGAAUUCGGGAGAGGGAUGUGGAAUUCCAGGUGUAGCGGUGAAAUGCGUAGAUAUCUGGAGGAACACCGGUGGCGAAGGCGGCAUCCUGGACCGAUAUUGACGCUGAUGCGCGAAAGCCAGGGGAGCAAACGGG
rnacentral:rRNA from 1 species